rnacentral:rRNA from 1 species
AGUGAACGCUGGCGGUAGGCCUAACACAUGCAAGUCGAACGGCAGCACAGUAAGAGCUUGCUCUUACGGGUGGCGAGUGGCGGACGGGUGAGGAAUACAUCGGAAUCUACUUUUUCGUGGGGGAUAACGUAGGGAAACUUACGCUAAUACCGCAUACGACCUACGGGGGAAAGCAGGGGAUCUUCGGACCUUGCGCGAUUGAAUGAGCCGAUGUCGUAUUAGCUGGUUGGGGGGUUAAAGGCCCACCAAGUCGACGAUCGGUAGCUGGUCUGAGAGGAUGGUCGGCCACAUUGGAACUGAGACACGGUCCAGACUCCUACGGGAGGGAGCAGUGGGGAAUAUUGGACAAUGGGGGGAAACCUGACACAGCCGUCCCGCGUGGGUGAAGAAGGCCUUCGGGCUGUAAAGCCCUUUUGUUGGGAAAGAAAAGCAGCCGGUUAAUACCACGCUGUUGUGACGGUACCCAAUGAAUAAGCACCGGCUAACUACGUG